rnacentral:tRNA from 1 species
GGUUGUUUGGCCGAGCGGUCUAAGGCGUCCGAUUCAAGCUCGGAUAUCGUAAGAUGCAAGAGUUCGAAUCUCUUAGCAACCA